AACGAACGCUGGCGGCAUGCCUAACACAUGCAAGUCGAACGAGACCUUCGGGUCUAGUGGCGCACGGGUGCGUAACGCGUGGGAACCUGCCCUUAGGUUCGGAAUAACUCCCCGAAAGGGGUGCUAAUACCGGAUAAUGUCUUCGGACCAAAGAUUUAUCGCCUUUGGAUGGGCCCGCGUUGGAUUAGCUAGUUGGUAGGGUAAAAGCCUACCAAGGCGACGAUCCAUAGCUGGUCUGAGAGGAUGAUCAGCCACACUGGGACUGAGACACGGCCCAGACUCCUACGGGAGGCAGCAGUGGGGAAUAUUGGACAAUGGGCGAAAGCCUGAUCCAGCAAUGCCGCGUGAAUGAUGAAGGCCUUAGGGUUGUAAAGCUCUUUUACCCGGGAUGAUAAUGACAGUACCGGGAGAAUAAGCGCCGGCUAACUACGUG
rnacentral:rRNA from 1 species